AAGCGUUGUUCGGAAUUAUUGGGCGUAAAGCGCGUGUAGGCGGUUUGUUAAGUCUGAUGUGAAAGCCCCGGGCCCAACCUGGGAAGUGCAUUGGAUACUGGCAGACUUGAAUACGGGAGAGGGUAGUGGAAUUCCUGGUGUAGGAGUGAAAUCCGUAGAUAUCAGGAGGAACACCGGUGGCGAAGGCGGCUGCCUGGACCGAUAUUGACGCUGAGACGCGAAAGCGUGGGGAGCAAACAGGAUUAGAUACCCUGGUAGUCCACGCCGUAAACGAUGAGUACUAGGUGUUGCGGGUAUUGACCCCUGCAGUGCC
rnacentral:rRNA from 1 species